rnacentral:rRNA from 1 species
UACGUAGGGUGCAAGCGUUGUCCGGAAUUAUUGGGCGUAAAGAGCUCGUAGGCGGUUCGUCGCGUCGAAUGUGAAAACCCGGGGCUCAACCCCGGGCCUGCAUUCGAUACGGGCAGACUAGAGUUCGGUAGGGGAGUCUGGAAUUCCUGGUGUAGCGGUGAAAUGCGCAGAUAUCAGGAGGAACACCGGUGGCGAAGGCGGUUCUCUGGGCAUGUCCUGACGCUGAGGAGCGAAAGUGUGGGGAGCGAACAGG